rnacentral:rRNA from 1 species
GAUGAACGCUGGCGGCGUGCUUAACACAUGCAAGUCGAACGAUGAAGCCCAGCUUGCUGGGUGGAUUAGUGGCGAACGGGUGAGUAACACGUGAGUAACCUGCCCUUGACUCUGGGAUAAGCCUGGGAAACUGGGUCUAUAAUGGAUAUUACUUCCUCUUGCAUGGUGGGGGGGGGUAAGAUUUUUUGGUCUUGGAUGGACUCGCGGCCUAUCAGCCUGUUGGUGAGGUAAUGGCUCACCAAGGCGACGACGGGUAGCCGGCCUGAGAGGGUGACCGGCCACACUGGGACUGAGACACGGCCCAGACUCCUACGGGAGGCAGCAGUGGGGAAUAUUGCACAAUGGGCGCAAGCCUGAUGCAGCGACGCCGCGUGAGGGAUGACGGCCUUCGGGUUGUAAACCUCUUUCAGUAGGGAAGAAGCGAGAGUGACGGUACCUGCAGAAGAAGCGCCGGCUAACUACGUG